rnacentral:lncRNA from 1 species
UGGUGUGCCAGAAUGCGUGCCCAUUCAUGGGAUCGGCCGCGGGUCACGUUGACUUUUGUUAACAAGUACCAGUCUCGAGUGGGGCCGCCCUUUCUUGGGUUCGCUUCUCCCGUUUCUCUGCCUGGCUCGGUUCCAGCCAAAAGCCUGCUGCGUUUCUCCUUGGCGGUGAAAAAGUCGCCGGCAAGGAGGGCUAUUUCUCUUGGGAUUUCCCAUCUUGAGGGCUCGUAGCUUCUCGCACAUGGUAAGUAAGUCUGAUGGUAUGGUGUCCUCGUCCUCUCUCUCUCUCUCUCCUCCCUCCUCUCUCUCUCUCUCUCUCUCUAAAAA